rnacentral:lncRNA from 1 species
CAUGGCAAAGAGAUAGACAGACAGAUGAACCAUGAGGCUCAUGGACCAGAGGAGCUGCCUGGCCACAUCUAAAGGAAGAUGAUGAGAGCAGGAGAGACAGAGAAGUGAGUGAAGGAAGAGACCUCUCUACCAAAGACAGUCACCAAAACGCAUCUUAACGGACCCCCUGAAAAGAACACCAGCAUUGGGCAUGGCCAAGGAGCACACCAUGCAGAACCCCACUCAUGGAGAUAACAAGACCAUUUGGACCAAUGAGGAAGAAAGGGAAUAGAUUCUGGGCACUGUGGCGAUGUAGCAAGGACUUCCUGGGAAAUUUCUGGACAGCCUGAGCUCGGAAGAGACAGAAAGGUUUCUCUCCACCUCUGGAUUCUGAACGCUGAGCCUGCAUACAUUCUCUGUGUCCUGGCCACCUCUCUGAACCUUCUCUAGUCAGACUAUCAUCCCUGCCUCUCCCAAGAGCAUCCUCAUCAAUGCCACCAAUGUUGUCAAGUCCAAGUUCAAAUCCCAGUCUUCAUUUUCAGUUGAUGUGUCAGGGACAAUUCCCUAGCGUGCUGACCCUUCUCCCUUACACACUUUCACUGAGAACCUUCUCAGACUUGGAGCCUUCCUCCACCUGGCCACCUUCCCUUCUGAAGUCUCCUUUCCUGGUUCUUCCUCAGCCAGAACUGUUAAUACGGCCAUGUCUGAGGACUCCGUAUUUGGCUUCUUCUCAAAUAUCCCUUGCCUAUUAUGGCAUGCUCAUCCUAACUCCUGAGCUCCUAACUCAUGCAUCCAAUCACCUGUGUGAAAUUACUUGUGGCUGUCACAUACUUAUUCAAAUGUAGGGCAACCUCAACUGAACACCCCUGCCUCCACCCCAAGCCUUCUCAGAAUCCCUUGCCCUGUUUACCCCCUUUCACCUAAUGUAGACUCCACCUUCCAGGUGCUCAAUAAACGUUAGAGCUAUAGAAAACCUUUGAACAGAGAACACAGUGCCACAGAUUCA